GUCAAACUUUUGCGGCAGAAAUUAAAUAAAAGUAAACAAAGAAAUCAAAAAUCGAAUAGUGGUGAAAUACAACCUAUUGUUUUCCUACCUUUCUUGAAAAUUUUAAAAGAUUGAAAUUAAACAAGGAUUAGAUACCCUUUUAUACAAUGCUUAUAAUUGUUUACGGAGUACUAAUACUUUAUAGUAAAAACUCAAAUGAUAUGGCGGUAGUUCUAAUUUUUAGGGGAACUUACCAAGUAAUAGAUAACCACCAAGGUUGAUUAACUAUAAGAAAUUCUUGUAUGCCGCCGUCGUCAGGAAAAACAUAAUGUUUUUUCGACUUAUAAUAAAUAAAAGGACAGGUCAAGGUGCAGACAAACUUAUAGGUAAAGGCGAGUUACAAUUUUAAUUCAAAGCAGUACUCUUCUUUUAAAGAUUAGUUAAGGAGGACUUAAUAGUAAUAUUUAUUGUUUAUAAAUUAUGAAAUAUUUAGCMACUUGUGCACAA
rnacentral:rRNA from 1 species